UACGUAGGGUGCGAGCGUUGUCCGGAAUUAUUGGGCGUAAAGGGCUCGUAGGCGGUUCGUCACGUCGGGAGUGAAAACUCGGAGCUCAACUCCGAGCCUGCUUCCGAUACGGGCAGACUAGAGGUAGGCAGGGGAGAGCGGAACUCCUGGUGUAGCGGUGAAAUGCGCAGAUAUCAGGAGGAACACCGGUGGCGAAGGCGGUUCUCUGGGCAUUACCUGACGCUGAGGAGCGAAAGUGUGGGGAGCGAACAGG
rnacentral:rRNA from 1 species